AGAGUCACUGCUGCUUAGAGUUAGUCAGCAACUCAAAGUGUAGGAUGGAAGCUUUGUGUAGAAGGAUAGACUUGGUCCCAGAAAUCGGAAAACACCAUUCUCAUUUGUUUUACUUUUUCUUUUUUUUUUGCUAAGCAAGGGUCACCCUGAGCUAACGUCUGUUGCCAGUCUUCCCCUUUUUUGUAUGUGAGCUGCUGUCACAGCAUGGCCACUGUCAGAAGAGUGGUAUAGGUUUGCUCCUUGGAAUUGAACUCGGGCUGCCAAAGCGGAGCACAGCGAACUUAACCACCAGGCCACCAGGGCUAGCCCUGCCAUUUUCUUUUAAAGACAAUGAAAAUAAAUUUGUAAUAAACAAAUUUUUAAGCAAUUUAUUCAUUCAUCUGUUCAACAAAUGUUGACUAGGCGUAUGCAAGACACGCGCCCUGCCCUCUCUAUCCACAGGUGACUAGGCACCUUCAGAAUGAUGUUGUAGGUGCUAGAAGCAGGUGGCCCGUACGGGAGGAGGAAGCACGUGAUGACAGAGAGCCCAGCCUCCCUGGGCCUAGGGAAGGCUUAGCCUCCAGUGCCCGUGGGAGUCAGCCAGGCAGAGAAGCGGCCCCGGGCCAGGGGGCCUCCUGGCAGAGGCCUGUGUGGGCGCCUCUGUCAGUGGUUUCAUGUCGCCUGGUUCGAGCUUAGUGAGCUGCUGGGGAGGGCACCCGUGGGAAAAGGGCAGGACAGGCACAGGCUGCUGCUGGUGAAAACUCGCCUUGGGUGGGUCAGAUGCUGUCGAGUGCGCACAGGCCUCCCUCAGAGCAAGUUCAUUGCUAACAGCUGUCGCAGAACCGCUUCUCUUCCUUCGUGAUCUGUGUUUAAAGUGUCGGUUUCUUCUCUCCCCUGUCGUCUCUCCUGUCCCUGGUUGGCCUUAUAGUCUGACCCUUUGUCUUCUGGAAUGUCUGCUGCUAAGGAAGCUAAACUGUUCGAACUUACUUCCCAGCUCAGGAAGGCCGAGGAGAGACACGGCAACAUUGAGGAGAGGCUGCGCCAGAUGGAGGCACAGUUGGAGGAGAAGA